CGCUUAGCGUUAUGCUUUAGGGUGAAAUUCUGGUUAAGGGUGAGGGUUCGGCUCAGGGUUAGGGUUAGAGUUAGGGUCAGUGGUUAGGGUUAGGUUUAGGGUUAAGGUUAGUUUUAGGCUAAGGAUUAGGAUUAGAGUUAGGGUUAAGGGUUACUGUUUCAGUUAGGUUUAGGUUAAGGUUAUAAUUAGGGUUAAGUUUAGGGUUAGGGUAAGAGUUAGAGUUACAUUUACAGUUAAGGUGAGGGUUCUGGGUAAGUGUUACCGUUAAGGUUAGGGUUAGGGCUAGGGUUAGGGUUAGAGUUAAGGUUAAGAGUUAGGGUUAGGUUUAAGUUUAUGGUAGGCUUAAAGAUAGGGUUGAGGUUAGGUUAGGGUUAGGGUCAGGGUUAGAAUUAGAAUUAGGUUUAGGGCGAGGAUUAGGGUCAGAGUUAUUGUAA